CCUACGAGGGGCUGCAGUGGGGAAUAUUGGACAAUGGGGGGAACCCUGAUCCAGCCAUGCCGCGUGUGUGAAGAAGGCCCUCGGGUUGUAAAGCACUUUCAGUGAGGAAGAACGCCUGGUGGUUAAUACCCAUCAGGAAAGACAUCACUCACAGAAGAAGCACCGGCUAACUCCGUGCCAGCAGCCGCGGUAAUACGGAGGGUGCGAGCGUUAAUCGGAAUUACUGGGCGUAAAGCGCGCGUAGGUGGCUUGAUAAGCCGGUUGUGAAAGCCCCGGGCUCAACCUGGGAACGGCAUCCGGAACUGUCAAGCUAGAGUGCAGGAGAGGAAGGUAGAAUUCCCGGUGUAGCGGUGAAAUGCGUAGAGAUCGGGAGGAAUACCAGUGGCGAAGGCGGCCUUCUGGACUGACACUGACACUGAGGUGCGAAAGCGUGGGUAGCAAACAGGAUUAGAUACCCUGGUAGUC
rnacentral:rRNA from 1 species